rnacentral:rRNA from 1 species
AUUGAACGCUGGCGGCAGGCCUAACACAUGCAAGUCGAACGAGUUGCGGACGGGUGAGUAAUGUCUGGGAAACUGCCUGAUGGAGGGGGAUAACUACUGGAAACGGUAGCUAAUACCGCAUACCAUCAGAUUUGCCCAGAUGGGAUUGGCUAGUUGGUGGGGUAACUGCUCACCAAGGCGACGAUCCCUCUCUGGUCUGUGAGGAUGACCAGCCAGACUGGAACGGAGACACGGUCCAGAAUCCUACGGGAGGCAGCAGGGGGGAAUAGUGCACAAUGGGCGCAAGCCUGAUGCAGCCAUGCGGCGUGUAUGAAGAAGGCAUUCGGGUUGUAAAGGACUUUCAGCGGGGAGGCGUUAACCGCAGAAGAAGCACCGGCUAACUCCGUGCCAGCCGCCGCGGUAAUAC